GGGAGCAAUAGGAUUAGGAAAACGAUUUGCAUGAUGUCAGACAACGACAGAUGUCGGGUGGCGUACGCGAAAUCUGCGUAAAAUACGCUAAAGAAUAUAAUGAUCACAAUCGCUCCCAAAGUGGAAAAGUAUAUUAAACCCUGAAAAAUUUGUACUGUUGAAAUGCGAGAGAAUAUGGGACAUGGUUCCUUUUUUCUCAACAAAAUCCAAGUGAUAAUAAACAAGAGAAAACGCAUCAUCCUCAUCAGUAUGUAGGCAGCGGUGAACGUGGUGAACCAAUUGUCUGCUUCGAUGGCCACCAUGGGGAUGGGGACUCGCU